AUUGAACGCUGGCGGCAGGCCUAACACAUGCAAGUCGAGCGGAUGAAGGGAGCUUGCUCCUGGAUUCAGAGGCGGACGGGUGAGUAAUGCCUAGGAAUCUGCCUGGUAGUGGGGGAUAACGUCCGGAAAAGGGCGCUAAUACCGCAUACGUCCUGAGGGAGAAAGUGGGGGAUCUUCGGACCUCACGCUAUCAGAUGAGCCUAGGUCGGAUUAGCUAGUUGGUGGGGUAAAGGCCUACCAAGGCGACGAUCCGUAACUGGUCUGAGAGGAUGAUCAGUCACACUGGAACUGAGACACGGUCCAGACUCCUACGGGAGGCAGCAGUGCGGAAUAUUGGACCAUGGGCGAAAGCCUGAUCCAGCCAUGCCGCGUGUGUGAAGAAGAUCUUCGGAUUGUAAAGCACUUUAAGUUGGGAGGAAAGGCAGUAAGUUAAUACCUUGCUGUUUUGACGUUACCAGCAGAAUAAGCACCGGCUAACUUCGUG
rnacentral:rRNA from 1 species